rnacentral:rRNA from 1 species
CACGCCGUAAACGAUGAGUACUAAGUGUUGGGGGAAACCUCGGUGCUGAAGUUAACGCAUUAAGUACUCCGCCUGGGAAGUACGGUCGCAAGACUGAAACUCAAAGGAAUUGACGGGGACCCGCACAAGCGGUGGAGCAUGUGGUUUAAUUCGACGCAACGCGAAGAACCUUACCAGGCCUUGACAUCGUGAUGACCGGUUUAGAGAUAAACCUUUUCUUCGGAACAUCAUAGACAGGUGG